GACGAACGCUGGCGGCGUGCUUAACACAUGCAAGUCGAACGGAAAGGCCCUGCUUUUGUGGGGUGCUCGAGUGGCGAACGGGUGAGUAACACGUGAGUAACCUGCCCUUGACUUUGGGAUAACUUCAGGAAACUGGGGCUAAUACCGGAUAGGAGCUCCUGCUGCAUGGUGGGGGUUGGAAAGUUUCGGCGGUUGGGGAUGGACUCGCGGCUUAUCAGCUUGUUGGUGGGGUAGUGGCUUACCAAGGCUUUGACGGGUAGCCGGCCUGAGAGGGUGACCGGCCACAGUGGGACUGAGAUACGGCCCAGACUCCUACGGGAGGCAGCAGUGGGGAAUAUUGCACAAUGGGCGGAAGCCUGAUGCAGCAACGCUGCGUGCGGGAUGACGGCCUUCUGGUUGUAAACCGCUUUCGCCUGUGACGAAGCGUGAGUGACGGUAAUGGGUAAAGAAGCACCGGCUAACUACGUG
rnacentral:rRNA from 1 species